AUCUUGGCGCGGCCAUGUUUAUGAGGGGCAACCUCCAGUUUCAGAGUCAUUGAGUGACGGAGCUGGAAGGGACCUGAGAUGUCAUCUCGCCUGGCCGCCUGACUGAGGCCCACAGAGGGGACCAGGAAAUUGUCAGAACGGGAAGCAGGCUGCUAUUUGGACCUGAGGAGAACACCUGACUGACGUUGGACCAAUCAGAUUUCAUCAUCUACGAAUUUGGCCCUGGAAUGAGAUGAUGGUCUUAAGCCCAGUGAGAAAGGCACAGAAAGAAUGCGCGGUCUACCAAUGCACCAGCUUCCUGUUUCUAAGCUCGGCAAAAAUAACCUAAACUAAGACUGUGGCCAAGAGUGGAUUAAACCCAACUCUCCUGGCUCCCAGAUCUGUGUUCUUUCCAUCACGCUGACUGGCAGCAGAGACGCAUUUUCAAGGAUCCCUCAGAACUCUGGCUUUUGAAUAUGACCUUAGAGACAUCAAACAAAACCAUGCCAUCCAAAAGGGUUCUCAGCACUUCAGGGAAGGGAUCUCUGGGGGGUGCCAAAUUCCAUGAUCUCUAAAGCAAUUGCCUCGGAGGUGCGUGUGAUGGUUUCCAACAGCAGCAGAGAAUGGAGAUUAAAAGUUCAGGCUCCGAAGCCUGACCGCCUGAGUUCAAACCCAUCAAGGUCCUCCACGCCAGCUGUGUACCUCGGGCAAGCUGCUUUUCUCAGUUUCCUCCUCUGAUAUUUACUCCCGCAGGGUUCCUGUAAGCCUCCAUAUAUGUAGAAAGCACUUUAGAACAGUGUGCAACAAUAAUAAAUGCUAGCUGUUUACUAUUACCCGCUUUUUUUAUAGUGCAUUUCCCCACAAAACAUUCCCAGGCCCUUAGGGUUUAGCUUUCACUCACUUCUGUAGCUGCUGCUAGUCUCCUGAGAUCCACCUUGGUCUGAUCACAUUUUCAGAACAAAACUCAGCAGCAUUCAAAGCCC